CCUCCGACUGCAGUUGCAUUCUAUAAUGAGAAAAUUUCGAGCAAGAGCAGAAAUUAUAUGAUUUCUGUUUUAUUUAUAUUAGCCACGGCUUAAUAUCUUUGAGUCGAUUUUCCGACAGUGGUCCACAUCAAAUUUUCGUUCGAUUCGGUUCAACAUAAUUUUCUAUCGGGAGUGAAAGAAGUGAUUGGACACGUUUACACUGAAAACGUAAAAUACUAU